UUUUCUUUCCAAACUUUUCAUCUCGCCCUCUAUGAAAUUAUUCUUCCUACAAACUAAAUUUUCUUGUUCAGUAUUACCUAUAAUACUACAAAGCCUUGCUUCGUUUUAAGUAUUGUAACUCCCGAUCACCGCUAUCCUUUCCGAUUGAUCUGAACCCCAUAACGCAUGUCAAGGCUCUGCCCGACUAAGUUCGUUUGGGUUCUGUCUCGGGACAUCGGGACAAGGUUGAUUUAGGGGUACUAUACUUACCACGAGUAGAUUAUAUAUUUUUAUAUAUAUAUAGCCCAAAAGUUAUACCCAAAAUUUAUACCAGGAGUCUUUCUAGUUGAACCCUAAAGUUACACAGUGGGUCCAUUCUCUUUAUUUUAUUCUCUUUUUAUGAUCUACCCAAAACUAUUAUUUAUUAUUCUAUUUUGUAAACAACUCUCAUCAAAAGUCAUACCUAUUAUUUUAUUUACUCAAUAGGAAACCCUAGUUGAGACACCCAAGUAAUCCUACACAACUCCUAAAAUUUUCAUAACAAUCAAAAUCAAGAUCAGGGCCCCUAAAACUUAGGAGGGGGAUAUUCCCACUUGAUAAUUAUCUUUAUAUCUUGUUGUCAAAAUUCGAAUUUAAUAUUCCGUCAACUCAUCAAGCCUACACACAUACGUGGCAAGCCUAUAGUGAAAAGGUGUCCCUUACGGACCGUAAGGGAUAAGGCUUACGGUCCGUAAGCCUGUCAAAUUUCGUGUAUAAAUAGCAGGCAUCGGCACUUGCAGUCUGCUGUUCAUUCGACGAUUAAAUUCCGAUUAUACACCGAGUUAUCGUCUAAAUACUCUAAAAACACACACGCGAAUCACUAAUUAGUAUAGCAGGGUGCUGCUACGAUACAGGGUAUUAACUCGAUCGCUAUUACGAUUCAUUUUCCGACCGAUCAAUAUAUCCAAUGGAUGUUUAAGUGCCACCCACAUUAGGGUUAUACUUUGUCGUUCGUCGUUAAUUCGAUGGAUGUUUAAGUAUCGUACUUUGUCGUUCGUCGUUAAAUCGAUGAAUGUUUAAGUAUCGCACUUUGUCGUUCGUUGUUACAAGGCUAAAUCAAUAGGCUAAGCUCUCCUGUAUAAAUCUGCAAUAUAUCAAGGCUUGUCUGUAGACUAAACUUUGGCCGUAUGAAUCUGCAUGAUUAUAAUGUGAGUCAUUCUCUUUU
rnacentral:lncRNA from 1 species